CUGGCUCAGAUUGAACGCUGGCGGCGUGCUUAACACAUGCAAGUCGCGCGUGAAAGGACUUCGGUCCGAGUAAAGCGGCGCACGGGUGAGUAACGCGUGGAUGAUCUACCCAUGAGUUAGGAAUAACGGCUGGAAACGGUCGCUAAUACCAAAUACGCUCCGAUUUCAACUUCGGGGGAAAGGUGGCCUCUGCUUGCAAGCUACUGCUCAUGGAUGAGUCCGCGUCCCAUUAGCUAGUUGGUGGGGUAACGGCCCACCAAGGCGACGAUGGGUAGCCGGUCUGAGAGGAUGACCGGCCACACUGGGACUGGAACACGGCCCAGACUCCUACGGGAGGCAGCAGUGGGGAAUAUUGCGCAAUGGGCGAAAGCCUGACGCAGCGACGCCGCGUGAGGGAUGAAGGUCCUCGGAUCGUAAACCUCUGUCAGGAGGGAAGAACCGCCACGGUGCUAAUCAGCCGUGGUCUGACGGUACCUCCAAAGGAAGCACCGGCUAACUCCGUGCCAGCCGCUGC
rnacentral:rRNA from 1 species